rnacentral:lncRNA from 1 species
GGUGGGGGUGGGGUUAAUCAGGUUUCCUAUGUGUGGGUGGUCACACAUCACUAGUUUGGGAAAGCGCACCAGAAGGAGUCGCAAUGGCAUUCAAUCAGUCUUCAGGAGUGAUGCUUCCUGGGAGAGCGGACGGCUCCGUCAGUCUCUGAUGAUCUUGUCUAAGUAGACGUGCGGGGUUGAGUGUGCAGCAGGAGCAACUUUUCUUCAUGUCCUUUCAUUGGCAUCACAGAAACAUGCUGGUCUUGUGUAAACAAAUCUGCUGAUUCCUAGAAGUAAAUGUUUUGACAACAGAAAACCUGCAGGAGUUUUUCCCCCCCCCCAUUCUUCUGUCAAGUAAAGUGUUUUCUUCACCACAAGAUGGCAGUGUUGUGUAUUUGUAAAGGUCAUUCACAGUUUGAAGUCUUCAGAAGAUUAAAGCACUUUUAUAUUCAAGAUAUUGUUAAGAAUACACAACAUAUAGAAAAUGUUGUUGUUUGUCACUGCAAUUAAUUUGGAUCAAUUUAGUUAAAAUGACAAAACAAAUAGAUUAUCUUUAGAAAAAAAAAAUAUUAAUGUAGUCAUUUAAUAUGGGUCAAAAAUGUUAAAUAGCUAGUACUGAUGCUGAUUAAUGUCGUAGGUGUUGCUGCAUUUAUAUUCUAUGAACAAUGUAUACAAAUGCAUCACAUUUG